rnacentral:tRNA from 2 species
CGCGGGGUGGAGCAGUGGUAGCUCGUCGGGCCCAUAACCCGAAGGUCGUUGGUUCAAAUCCAACCCCCGCCACCA